AAAUGGUCAACUCUAGAACAAAGAUUACAAUUUUUUUAAACUGUCUCUCUUUGCCACUUGCUUCCUAGAGCUUGUCGUGGUAUAUUUAAGAAGAAUUAUUUUUGUUCGUUAAGGAUAGAUAAGUGCGACCACUUUCCGUCUGAAGAUUUGAGAGCAAGGAUAGUAACAAAAUGUGUGCAUUGCACACGAGGAGGAAACAAAAAUGGAACAAGGUAAAGUAAAAUGGUUUAAUGCAGAAAAAGGCUUUGGAUUUAUCGAACGUGAAGGCGGAGACGACGUAUUCGUUCACUUCUCAGCUAUCCAAGGUGAAGGCUACAAAUCUUUAGACGAAGGUCAAACAGUUACAUUUGACGUUGAGCAAGGUCAACGCGGACCACAAGCUGCUAACGUUCAAAAAGCUUAAUUUAAUGACCGAGACCAACAGACUCCGACAUCGGGGUCUGUUUUUU
rnacentral:sRNA from 1 species